rnacentral:tRNA from 1 species
GGGCGCAUAGCUCAGUUGGUUAGAGCACCUGCCUUACAAGCAGGGGGUCAGGGGUUCGAGUCCCUUUGCGCCCA